rnacentral:rRNA from 1 species
UACGAGGGGGGCAAGCGUUGUUCGGAAUCAUUGGGCGUAAAGAGCGUGUAGGCGGCCCGGUAAGUCCGCUGUGAAAGUCGGGGGCUCAACCCUCGAAUGCCGGUGGAUACUGUCGGGCUAGAGUGCGGAAGAGGCGAGUGGAAUUCCUGGUGUAGCGGUGAAAUGCGCAGAUAUCAGGAGGAACACCGAUUGCGAAGGCAGCUCGCUGGGACGUCACUGACGCUGAGACGCGAAAGCGUGGGGAGCAAACAGG